rnacentral:rRNA from 1 species
CCGGGAUUCCAAGGCUUUUAAUUAAAGUAGCAUGGGGUUUAGUUUUUUUUAAUUAGAUAAAUAAAAUAGUUAGUAUAUUAAAGAAAGUAAUGUUUACCUAAAGAUAAUAAGUACUGUCAAGGAAAUGUGAAAUAAUUGAAAAUUUAUUUUAGGAAAAGAAUAAGUUUAUUUUAGUACCUUUUGUAUCAGGGAUUAUCAAAAUGGAAAAUUAUUAUAAUAUCUCGAAAAUAAGAGAGCUAAAUUUGACGGAGGUUAAUGUGGAAAAAUUAUCUUUUAAUCAAGUUUAGGUGUGACAAGUAAAUCGUUCUUAUUGAUAUCUAGUUUUCCACCAAAUAAAUUUAGUUUUGGAGAUUGUGGUAAAGUCUAAUUUUUAGGUUUUAUUAAAAUAUCUGGUUAAACUUUAGGGGAUGAGCUCUAAGGUUGUGCUACAAAGUGGAAUUAUUUUUCAUUUUUUGAGGCUUAGAAGUAGCUAAUAAAAGUGUUAUAACGUAAAAGGUGGUAUGUAUAAGAUUUCGAUUUUUUUAGAUUUUUAGUGGAGAAACAAUUAAAUAGAAUAAGUGUUGGAAUAAUGGUAGUAUUAGUAGAAGGAAAUAAAAUAGGUUCUGAGUAAAAUACCCAGGGACGUGUUAGGAAACACAAAUUGAGCUAAAGAAUUCGGCAAAUAAAAUCUUCGACUGUUUAACAAAAACAUUUCCUCCUGGAAGGGGAGGUAAGGCCUGCUCACUGAAAAUUAAAGAGCCGCAGUAUCAUGACUGUGCUAAGGUAGCAUAAUCAUUAGUCUUUUAAUUGGGGACUUGUAUGAAUGGCUAAACGAGGGGUUGGCUUUUUUGGCUUAAGGGAUGUCAAAUUUUAUUUUUUAGUGAGAAAGCUAAAAUGGGCUAAAAAGACGAGAAGACCCUAUAGAGUUUGAAGGGGAAGAAGUUAUUUAGUUAAUUAGAAGUAAAACUGGUGAUUUUCAAUCUUCUUUUUGUUGGGGCGACAUAGAAUUAGGAAAAACUUUUUAUUUAAGGAACUAUAACUAUAGAAUAGGUUUGAUCCGGUGAAGCGAUUAAAGGAAAAAAUUACCUUAGGGAUAACAGCGUAAUCUUUUUUGAGAGUUCGUAUCGACAAAAGGGUUUGCGACCUCGAUGUUGGACUAAAAUAAAGGCAAGGUGCAGUAGUUUUGUUAAUGGGUCUGUUCGACCCGUGGUUUUUUACAUGAUCUGAGUUCAGACCGGCGUGAGCCAGGUUGGUUUCUAUCUUUUAGUUAUGAGGUGCUGUUUUAGUACGAAAGGAUUUGGCAGUAGCAAUAGUUGUAGUUUAAGAUUGUAAUUAAUAGCUUCUAGAUUAACUUGGCAGAUAAUUGUAUUAGAUUUAGAAUCUAAAGAUGG